CUGACGGUACCUUGCGAAUAAGAGGUUGCUAACUCUGUGCCAGCAGCAGCGGUAAUACAGAGACCUCAAGCGUUAUCCG
rnacentral:rRNA from 1 species